rnacentral:rRNA from 1 species
UAUUAGCUUAAAAUAAGAUUGGAGAUUACAAGCAAUAGCUUAAAAACCUAAGAAAUUUGGCGGUGUUUUAUUCAAUCAGGGGGGCCUGUAAUCUAAAUCGAUAACCCACGCUGAACUCUAUAUAGUCUUAAGUAAGAUAGUUUGUGUACUGCCGUUUAAUAAGUUCUUAAGGUUUCUUAUAAUAAAUGUAAAAAUUAAAAGACAGGUCAAAGUGCAGCUUAUAACUAAUAUUAUAUGGGCAUUAUUUUUAAACAUAUAUAAAACUUAUAAAUUAAAAUUUAUAGUAGAUUUAGUACUUGAUAGUAAUUAUAUAAUUACUCAUAAUAUAAUGAAUAUUGAACUUAAAAUAAGC